ACACACACACAAAGUGGAACAGACAAAGCCCUCCACCCAUCCUUCCUUUCAAAACACAUUCAGCUCUAGUCUGAACAACGGGAGCCUGCUGAAUUCAUCAAUUCGGCCACCAGCCGUACGAGAGUUAAGAAGUCUAGGCAGUCCUGCUCUGUUCCCUCCUCCCUCACCUGUCCUGCCGCUGCACACAGUUUGGCACUUCAGCUUCUCAGCACACAACUCAACUCCACUCCACACAGAGGGGAGGAGAGAGCCUGGGGCUGGGAGGGGCCAGGCGAAGGCACUGCAUUGUUGGAAAAAGACGCGUCAGGUUCACUAUUAGUCUACACCUGUUGUCUACGAAGCUGUGAGAAAGAACUGAACUGAAAUCUCUCUCACACCCACAUCUCACACAUUCCCUCCUCUCGGAGCCACCCAACCUGCCCACAAGAAGGAAGUGUUGCCACAGCCGGUGUCACUUCCUCUGUUCUGGACUUACCAGAGCUGUCUUCAUCAGGGAACUACUAUAUUUAUUUAUAUCAAUGUGGUCCUUGCCAAUACAGUCACAUACAAUGAUACACACCGUGAAUAUGUACCGUACAUUCAAAUGUACUGUUUAUUCAUUGCUUCAGACAUAUCUGAAUAAUGGAUGUACUGUCGAUUUUGCAUUUUGAAAGGAAGCCUGUUCUGGUCUGAUGAAGCCAAGACAGAACUAUUUUGGACUGAACACCAAGCGUCACAUCUGGAGGAAACAUGGCACCAUCCCUACGGUGAAGCAUGGUGGUGGCAGCAUCAUGCUAUGGAGAUGUUUUUCAGCGGCAGGGGCUGAGAGACUAGUCAGGAUCGAGGGAAAGAUGAACGGAGCAAAGUACAGAGAGAUCCUUGAUGAAAACCUGCUCUAGAGUGCUCAGGACCUCAGACUGGGGUGAAGGUUCAACUUCCAACAGGACAACAACCCUAAGCACACAGCCAAGACAGUGCAGGAGUGGCUUCGGGACAAGUCUCUGAAUGUUCUUGAGUGGCCCAGCCAGAGCCCGGACUUGAACCCAAUCGAACAUCUCUGGAGAGACAUAAAAAUAGCUGUGAGCGACGCUUCCCAUCCAGCCUGACAGGGCUUGAGAGGAUCUGCAGAGAAGAAUGGGAGAAAAUCCCCAAAUACAGGUGUGCCAAACUUGUAGCGUCAUACCCAAGAAGACUCGAGGCUGUAAUUACUGCCAAAGGUGCUUCAACAAAGUACUGAGUAAAGCGUCUGAAUACUUAUGUAAAAGUUCAUUAUAAAUUAGCAAACAUUUAUAAAACCUGUUUUUGCUUUUUCAUUAUGGGGUAUUGUGUGUAGAUUGAUGAGGGGAAAAAACAACUUAAUACAUUUUAGAAUAAGGCUGUAACGUAACAAAAUGUGGAAAAAGUCAA